UCCUCCUCAAAAACGUCGAACCCUAACUCCUUUCCCCGAUCUCCCCUCUGUUCGAACCCGAUCUCCUUCUUCCCCUCUUCUUCUCCCUGCCUCUCUCGCGGACAACUCGACGCCGACGCCACCAAGGGAGCUAAUUGUCGGCGGGCACCUCAUCUUCCCUGAUCAGUCGAGCGGGCCAGGCGAUCACAUUUCCUCUUGAGCUGUCACCUCUUUUCGGGUAGUCUCUCGGAGGAGGGAGGGGAGAGUUCGAACCCUAGAUCGCCGGGAGUCGGGAGGUUGCGUUGACGACAGAGGUAGGUUUCUUGAGCCUUUCUUCUCUCUUGAUUUCAUCGUCAAUCCAGCUCACCUUCUUCUCGAUCCCGUGGAUGUCGAGUUGUCCUCGAUUGUCGCCAUCUAGGGCCGAAGAUACCGGCUGUGCCCUAGCUACGAUCCUGGAGGCAAGGAUCAAUUCCUUGAUGUUAGUUCUUGAUCGUCUUCCUUGCUGUUAACUAAGGUCCCUGUUGAGGAAUUCCGGCUUGAUUCAUUUCUGGUUCCGAUUGAUUGCACUGAGGAUCUGCUUUGUGGAGUUGAUCUUGGUUUCGGCAACUCUCCAACGACAACUACCUUGUCUGGCAGCAACAUUUCUUGGUGCUGUGGAUCAUCAAUCACGGCAGGACUCUGAUUCGAGACAGGCAUCUCGACGUUGGAUCGGGCUUGAUAGUACCUUCUAGUUGAGGCGGGU